GGAGCAGUGGCCGAGCGGCUUAAGGCGACGGUCUUGAAAACCGUUGUACCGAAAGGUACCGGGGGUUCGAAUCCCUCCUGCUCCG
rnacentral:tRNA from 3 species